ACUGAUAUCAUAUGGAAAUGCCAGCUCAGAAGAUGUGGUGAGCUUUGAUAAUUCAGGAAUUGACUGACAGAAGGAGGACCUCAUUUGGGCAGAAUGGCUCCCAAAACCCAGUUGUGUCUCUGGGUGUGU